AACGAACGCUGGCGGCAGGCUUAACACAUGCAAGUCGAGCGGAGAGAGGUAGCUUGCUACUGAUCUUAGCGGCGGACGGGUGAGUAAUGCUUAGGAAUCUGCCUAUUAGUGGGGGACAACAUUUCGAAAGGAAUGCUAAUACCGCAUACGUCCUACGGGAGAAAGCAGGGGAUCUUCGGACCUUGCGCUAAUAGAUGAGCCUAAGUCGGAUUAGCUAGUUGGUGGGGUAAAGGCCUACCAAGGCGACGAUCUGUAGCGGGUCUGAGAGGAUGAUCCGCCACACUGGGACUGAGACACGGCCCAGACUCCUACGGGAGGUAGCAGUGGGGAAUAUUGGACAAUGGGCGCAAGCCUGAUCCAGCCAUGCCGCGUGUGUGAAGAAGGCCUUAUGGUUGUAAAGCACUUUAAGCGAGGAGGAGGCUACUUUAGUUAAUACCUAGAGAUAGUGGACGUUACUCGCAGAAUAAGCACCGGCUAACUCUGUGCCAGCAGCCGCGGUAAAAC
rnacentral:rRNA from 1 species